rnacentral:rRNA from 1 species
AUUGAACGCUGGCGGCAUGCUUUACACAUGCAAGUCGAACGGUAACAGGCCGCAAGGUGCUGACGAGUGGCGAACGGGUGAGUAAUGCAUCGGAACGUGCCCAGUCGUGGGGGAUAACGCAGCGAAAGCUGUGCUAAUACCGCAUACGAUCUAUGGAUGAAAGCGGGGGACCGUAAGGCCUCGCGCGAUUGGAGCGGCCGAUGUCAGAUUAGGUAGUUGGUGGGGUAAAGGCUCACCAAGCCAACGAUCUGUAGCUGGUCUGAGAGGACGACCAGCCACACUGGAACUGAGGCACGGCCCAGACUCCUACGGGAGGCAACAGUGGGGAAUUUUGGACAAUGGGCGCAAGCCUGAUCCAGCAAUGCCGCGUGCAGGAAGAAGGCCUUCGGGUUGUAAACUGCUUUUGUACGGAACGAAAAGGUUUGGGUUAAUACCCUGGGCCGAUGACGGUACCGUAAGAAUAAGCACCGGCUAACUACGUGCCAGCCGCCGCCGUAAAAC